CAAAACACAUCCACUAUCAGAUAUAUCUAGGUUAUUAGGUGCAUUAGGCUAAGAAUAUUCGAAAACAUUUUGGAAACGGCAAAUUAGAUUUUUCCGAAAUUGAGUUUAACUAAAGUAGAACAUGUGAGAUAGUAAAACAAAAAACUGAAAUUUUUGUGUUGUCUAAUUGUUACGAACUGCUUUCUUGGGUGGGCAGCGCCGCUAGCUCAGCGAUCUCAUUUGGGCCAAGUUCUCCCCAAUGCCCGCAGUCCGACAACAUAAGAUACAAACAUCGAUUACGGUCGUCUCACAACACUAAACUCUUUGCGAUCACUAACAAAAAUGUAAACAAACCAAAAAACGUAAACAUUGAAAUACAAGGCGACGGAAAUUUGGAUCUUUGGUGGCCAUCGGUGUUCUUGGCCACUGCGUACCCACCCAACCUAGGAUGCCUGAAAAAGGUCUAGCAAUUCAUCAUCAUUAUAAACUGGUUUUAAUUACUCAGACCGCUGGAUCGUCAAUCGACCGCCGUCUUAAAAUUUAGCGGUCAAAGCUAAUUUUUAAGAAAAGGACCGGAAAUGUUCUGCCACCCUUAUAUCGGCAGAAUUCUUUUCGUUUACCCGGCUUAAAAUUAGGGUCACCUAAUCCUGAGGAGCUCCACAGGAAAAGAAGGGACGCCGAACGGUAAGUGAUAUCACUAUAUAACGCACAAUCCUUUAACCUAUUUCAGCGACCUAUUUGGUUCCCGAAAAACGUCGGUCAAAAGCGAAACUUGGGACAAGGCGUAAUUAAAUUGCACAAGAUGUUAUAGGACUUCAUACGCAGACGCAGCCUACCAAGGGACCGCAACGAUGAACCGAGAGGUUAAGAGGACUGGCUGGCCAAUUUGGCGGCAUCAGCAGCUCUCGGAGGAAUUCGUUGUUGAGGAACACAGUUGUAGUCACUCCGACUAGGAACGAACUCACCGGCACUUCGAUUCCUGCGUGAUUCAGUUAUAAUUUCUCCGUCAAUACUUGUACUGCAUCCAAAACGAAAUGUUUGGUCUUCCAAAAUAAAAUAAAUUUGUUUGAACUCCAACAAAAAUGUAUUUGUACUCCCAAAAGAAACGGAAGUCGGUCUCCUCCAGAAACAAAUGUAUCCAAAAAAUAUCGGCCUCCUCUGAAAGGAAAUGUGUCUUCCAAAUAAUCUUGGUUCUUCUCCAGCAAUAACUGUGUGACCUCAAAAGGAAGGUGUGUUUCUUCAAAAAAAAAAACGAGGAUGUCUUCCAAAGAGGUUAUGGGUUCUUCCGAAAAUAAAUUUUUGGUUCCUCAAAAAAUGUGGGUUUCCUCCAGAAAAAUAUAUUUGUGUUUUUCCAAAAAUUAAACGUGAUGC